GCUUAACCGUAAACUUUAACUUACACCCAAAUCGCCUGGGAACUACGAGCAAUGCUUAAAACCCAAAGGACUUGACGGUGCCCCAUUCCACCUAGAGGAGCCUGUCCUAUAAUCGAUAACCCCCGUUUAACCUCACCACUCUUCGCCCGUCAGUCUGUAUAUCUCCGUCGUCAGUUUACCUCGUGAGCGAUCUCAGUAAGCAAGAAGGCCUUAUUCGCCAAAACGCCAGGUCAAGGUGCAGCUAAUAGAGUGGGAAGAGAUGGGCUACACUCUCUAAUAUAGAAAAUACGAAAAACUACUGAUGAAACUCCAGUUAGAAGGCGGAUUUAGCAGUAAAAUGAGACAAAAGCGCUCAUUUAAACAUGGCCCUGGGGUGUGUACACACCGCCCGUCACCCUCUUCGAGACCCAAAGACUAGUAUAUAACACCCUAUUAUUCACAAAGAAGAGGCAAGUCGUAACAUGGUAAGCUUACCGGAAGGUGUGCUUGGAAAC
rnacentral:rRNA from 1 species